AGUAACACAUGAUCAACUUGACCUAUGGAGAAAAAUAACCUCGGGAAAGUAUCAUAGUCGUUUAAAGAACAUAUCAAAAGAUUAUGAUACCCCGAAACUGAGGAUAAUAUUUCAUAGUUGAAUAGGCUUGGAAAAGUUUUUCAAUGAAUGGGAUAGGGAAAAUGGUUCUUAUCUGCCAUAGGAUAGGAUCGUGGUCGAUUAUGGUUGUUGGUGAGGUAACGGCUCACCAAGCCGAUAAUCGAUAGGGGCCGUGAGAGCGGGAGCCCCAAGAUGGGUACUGAGACAACGACCCAGGCCUUACGAGGCGCAGCAGGCGCGGAACCUCCGCAAUACACGAAAGUGUGACGGGGUUACCCAAAGUGUUCAAUUCUGAACUGUGGUAGGUGAGUAAUGUUCCCUACUAGAAAGGAGAGGGCAAGGCUGGUGCCAGCCGCCGCGGUAAAACCAGCUCUUCAAGUGGUCGGGAUAAUUAUUGGGCUUAAAGUGUCCGUAGCCGGUUUAGUAAGUUCCUGGUAAAAUCGGGUAGCUUAACUAUCUGUAUGCUAGGAAUACUGCUAUACUAGAGGGCGGGAGAGGUCUGAGGUACUACAGGGGUAGGGGUGAAAUCUUAUAAUCCUUGUAGGACCACCAGUGGCGAAGGCGUCAGACUGGAACGCGCCUGACGGUGAGGGACGAAAGCCAGGGGAGCGAACCGGAUUAGAUACCCGGGUAGUCCUGGCCGUAAACGAUGCAUACUAGGUGAUGGUACGGCCAUGAGCCGUAUCAGUGCCGUAGGGAAACCGUUAAGUGUGCCGCCUGGGAAGUACGGUCGCAAGGCUAAAACUUAAAGGAAUUGGCGGGGGAGCACCACAAGGGGUGAAGCCUGCGGUUCAAUUGGAUUCAACGCCGGA
rnacentral:rRNA from 1 species